rnacentral:hammerhead_ribozyme from 1 species
AUCCAGCUGACCAGUCCAAAACAGGACGGAACGCGCGUCCUGGAU